CUGCAAAGCUCAGCCCUGGGCGGUCUGUGCCAUGGCCUGGGCUCCUCUCCUGCUCACACUCCUGGCUCACUGUGCAGAAGCUGCUUCCCAGGUUGUGGUGACUCAGGAACCUUCACUGUCCAUGACUCCUGGGGGGACGGUCACGCUCACCUGUGGCUCCAGUGCUGGGGCCGUCACCACCGGCAACUACGCAGCAUGGGUCCAACAGAUGCCCUACCAGGCACCCCGGGGUCUAAUAGGUGGCACCAGCAACCGGUACUCAGGGGUCCCUGCCCGAUUCUCAGGCUCCCUGCUUGGAGGCAAGGCUGCCCUCACCAUCACAGGGGCCCAGCCCGAGGAUGAGGCUGAGUAUUUCUGUGCUCUGUGGUACAGCAACCAUUACCACGCAUCUGCCAGACUCACCUGCACCCUGAGCAGUGGCUUCAGUGUUGGUGACUACUACAUAUCCUGGUACCAGCAGAAGCCAGGGAGCCGUCCCCGCUAUCUCCUGUACUACUACUCAGACUCCAAUAAACACCAGGCCUCCGGGGUCCCCAGCCGCUUCUCUGGAUCCAAGGACACCUCGGCCAAUGCAGGUGUUCUGCACAUCUCGGGUCUGGAGCCUGAGGACGAGGCUGACUAUUACUGUGCCAAGCUCCACCUUUAG